GGGCGGCGCCGCGGCGCAGGGCGUGGGCUCCGUCAUCACGCAAUCGGUGUACGCGAGCAUGCUGCCCAACCGCGACAACUCGCAGUGCCCGGCCAGGGGGUUCUACACGUACGACGCCUUCAUCGCCGCCGCCAACACCUUCCCGGGCUUCGGCACCACCGGCAGCGCCGACGACGUCAAGCGCGAGCUCGCCGCCUUCUUCGGCCAGACCUCCCACGAGACUACCGGUACGUCAAUCAGUCAGUCAGUGUUGCUUUCGGAACUCGAUCGUGGCUGCCUUGAUUAACCGUACGUGCUUGUGCAUGGAAUGCCAACGUUGCAGGAGGGACGAGAGGCGCCGCCGACCAGUUCCAAUGGGGCUACUGCUUCAAGGAGGAGAUAAACAAGGCCACGUCUCCACCCUACUAUGGACGGGGACCCAUUCAAUUGACAGGGUGAGAAAAAUUGCAAAUUAUUAUAGCACACUUUGAAGCAUCUUCUACAUGCAAAAUAUUUCCUCUGUAUCUAAAUAAUUAUAGUUGUUGCCAUGAAAAGAACAAAGGAAGUACCGUUUCAAAAAAAUAAAAUAAAUACCACACACUGAAAUAAUCUGUAGAAAAAUCUGCUUGAAAAGUACAGCAGUGUUGACAUUCAUUUUCGCAUGCAAUCAUUCUAGUAACAACAAAGACCCGAGGCCUUGGUUGCUUUGCGGAAAAGAUUGUUCUGAUGAACCAAUAAUUCCUUGUGCGAUUGACCAGGCAGUCCAACUACGAUCUCGCCGGGAGGGCGAUCGGGAAGGACCUUGUGAGCAACCCGGACCUGGUGUCCACAGACGCGGUGGUGUCCUUCAGAACGGCCAUUUGGUUCUGGAUGACGGCGCAAGGCAACAAGCCGUCGAGCCACGACGUCGCCCUAGGCCGCUGGACGCCGACGGCUGCCGAUACAGCUGCAGGUCGGGUGCCUGGAUACGGCGUAAUCACCAAUAUCAUCAACGGCGGGCUCGAGUGCGGCAUGGGCCAGAACGACGCCAACGUCGACCGCAUCGGCUACUACACGCGCUACUGCGGCAUGCUUGGCACGGCCACCGGAGGCAACCUCGACUGCUACACCCAGCGAAACUUCGCUAGCUAGACACUAUGGAUAGUGUAUGCACGUGUUACGAAUAAAGGGCUACACUCAUGAAUAAGGGGCAACACAUAUCCCAUCAUGAAAUAAAUAAUUCGAUAUGUGAUCCAGUUGAUCGUGUCGUAUGAUAAUACGAGUAAGUUGUUGUAACAAAUUAUGUAAAUUGUUCAAUAAAAUCAUAUCAUUACAACUGGUUUUUUAAAUAUGGUACACUAAAAAUAAUCCACAUACACGAGUAUACACUCAUCUCUAUAAAGAUACGCAUGCAUAUCCUAUUCUAUCCAUAUGAGCACCUUCGAAAGACUGGCCCAACACAUCAUCUUGAUAUUGACAAAGUCAUCACAUAUACCUUCAUAGUCGACGGAAAUGUCUCUUCUCACUAAACGCACAUGGUUGAAAACCAGAAAUAAAUGAAGAAAAAUAGGAACACUAAUGUCAUGUAUGGACUUGAACUCUAGUGAAUAUACAUAUCACUCUCUUUCUAACCAUCAAAGCACAGAUUGGUAUCAUUGUUUUAUUUUGUUGUAUGUGAGAGGAUGUAUAGCAGACCAACUAACGUGACAAAUAUUUUACUUGUUUAAUCAGUUCUUCAUAACAAAAAGGAAAGAAAAGUCAGGAUUUAUGAAAUGAAUGAGGCUAACGCGUGUUUCGUUGCAUCGGUCUUCACUCGUUUUUUUAGAAAAGGAGGAUGAUCCCCGGCCUCUGCAUCUGGAAGAUGCAUGCGGUCAUUUUAUUGAUUAUUCUCGAGGACCUUACAAAGCAGUACAACAAUAUGCCUGAAUCCGCCAUCUUGGCAACAUCUGCCGCUACUCCUAUCCAUAUGAUGAAGGGGUGCAAGCUGGACCAAAUACCCAGACCUCUCACCUAAGCCUAACAUCUAAAGCCGGAUACCCUGACCGAGCCACAUACCGGGUCCGGGGCACAAACCGGUCCGACGCACUCACAUGUGUCGUCGCCGCCAUCUUCCAUUGCUCCAUCUUCAGAUCAGAUUGAGGUACCAGCCUUGGCAGGUGCCUCCUCCAUCGACGCCAUCAUGAUGCCAAACGACGACAUCCACCAACGCGAGUCCAUCUCCAAGCAACUGACGAAGAUCCAUGCUAGGAUAGGGCCGCAUCACCGCCGUCGCCCACCACCCACAAGCGCCACCCAGCCCCAAGGUUCCCAAAGCGACGCCUUCAAGAAGGGAACGGCGCCGUGAGCGCCGCCGCCGCCCAACAAAGUUAGGGCUUUCGCCGGGAGACCUAGGGGAAGGGGAAGUGAGGGGAUCAGUCCAUACCAACGCCUCCAAGGAGGGGAACGACGCCCUCGGGCGUCGCCGUCGACGCGGCCGGCCAUGGCCGACCAGGGAUUUCGCCCGACCUAGAUCCCCACCACCAGCAGCACCUCCUGUACAAAACCGGCAAUCCAAGGAAGCGCGGCCCGACCAGGCUGGCCCACACGCCGAACAGGGAAGGAGGGGAGGCGCUAGAUCGCGCGCACCGGCCACCGCAAAAGCCGCCACCAGACGUCAGCGACCACCGGAUCCCGCCGCCCGCGUGGCCGAGACGCCGGAUCCACCUCCCGCACGGCUGCUAGCCUACCGUGCCUCGCCAAUGAAGCCGCCGUUCCAGAUCCGGAACUCCACAUGCAGAGGCAGGGUAACCUAGGCCCCGCCGCCACCAUCCUUGGCGCCCCGGGCUUGCCCGGCGGCUGCCUCAGGCGGCGGCGAGGAAGGGAUGGGGAGGGGGAGGCGGCUAGGGUUGGGAUGGAGGGAGCGUGGGAUUAACUUUAUAUAUAUAUCAGUUUACUGCAGACAGUUGUUUGAUUUUGGCUUUAUCAGUUGUCUUGAGUUUUAGUUAUAUUUUGGUGGUGGUUUUUUCCUUUCAUAUAUUUUGUUGGCUUUUGUUGAAAAUGAUUUUUUUAGAUGAGAUUAGAGUUGUUCGAUGUGGGGUUUUGGGGUCUUCAAACCUUUCGGCCUUGGAGUCAGCCGAGGAUGGUUUCAUGAGCCCUUUGGGAGCUCUCAUUCCAUACUAAAAUUGUAGAAUCGCUCCUAAGAGCAUCUCUAAUAGGGCAGCCUCUUUUCAAUUAUAGGGCAGGCAAAAUCGAGAUAUAGGACAGCAAAACAACAGUCGUUUUACCAGCAGCCCAAGAUAGGGCAGCACCCGCCCCAGCAGCCACUACUAAGAAAAGGGCUAUAGAUGAUAUAGAUAUUAAUGCCGCACCACACAAGCCGUGCGCCACUACUAUAUAAUAAUGGCGUACCAUGUGAGGUGUGCCAUUAGUGUGGUGGAUAUUAAUGGCGCACCACACUCUCGGUGCGCCACUACUAUAUAUAUAUAUAUAUAUAUUUUUGCAAAACUACUAAUGGUGCACCAGCACCUGGUGCGCCAUUAGUAACCUGGUUACUAAUGGCACAUAUGUUAGUAGUGCGCCACUACUAUAAAAAAAAUUGGUUUUUUUUUGCAAACUACAAAUGGCGCACCAAAGCUAGUGCGUCAUUAGUAAGCAGUGUUACUAAUGGCGCAUCUAUUGGUGGUGCACCACUACUAUUUUUUUUACAGAACUACUAAUGGUGCACCAGAGGAGGUGCGUCAUUAGUAACCAGGGUUACUAAUGGCGCAUAUGUAGGUGGUGCGCCAUUAGUAACCUGGGACCAGCUAGAUAUUUUGGACAACCACCUACCACACUCACUUUCCCCACUUUCAUUCUCUCCACCUCCUCCUCCAAGCUUGUCUCAGGUGCCUCCUCCUCCUCACCUCAUUUGCAUCAUAGAUUCACCCAAAUUAAGUGGUUAAAUUACCUUUUUUUGAUAGGUAAGUAAGGGGAAAGCUUUUAUGUUGUAGAUCUACUUUUUUCUCCCUCCAACAACGUGCACAUGCACUUUUUAUGGCCUAGCUAGAUCUACGUAUGUUUGUUGUGUUGCAUAUGUUUGUGGUGUUGCAUAUUUGUUUGUGUUUGCAGGUACCGGUAUUUGAAAUGCGAUAGUUGCCAAUAUUUUCCCGGAAUGUUGAUUCAUUUCCGUUUCGGUGAGAAUUUGGCACUAUGCAUUCUUUUUUGUCCUAUUUUUAGGCAAAGUCAUGCCAAAAAAAAAUUUUGGUUAUAAAAUAUCAUUUUGCUUUACCCCGCACGCGACCAUGGUCCGCACGAUGACCGAAGGCAUCGUGAAUAGGUUUUUGAGCUCCGCGAAGGCCGAGAUGCUUCAAAAGAACGAGACGAAGAUAAGAUGUCCGUGUCGAAGAUGCAAGCUGAAGAGCCUUAUGGACCCGGAUUCCGUAAAGGUGCGGGACCACCUGCUCUUGCGUGGUUUCAUGGAUGGCUAUCGGUGGCAAGGUGAUGAAGAUGAUUAUGAAGUCGUCCAUGGGGGCCGGGAAAGAAAUGAGGAAGGGCAUGAGCAAGACAACCGCGGCGAGGGCGGGCGAGAAGACGAAGAAUCUCCAGGACACAGUCAUCAUGUAGAAGAUGCCGGACAUGAUGAUGAGGAAGAUGCCGGAGCAGACGAAGGGCAUGAUCAUGAAGAUGAAGAUGCCGGAGCAGACGACGAUGGACCAUCCAUGCCCUGGGUGCAGGACCCUCAUAUUCAAGAGCUGCUUCUCAAGCAGACGGAUAACGCAAGAGCUGCCGCCCGAGAGAAAGCCAAGCUGGAUCAACUUGAGAUAGACGCGGUUACUCCAUUGUAUGAAGGAUGCAGGCCCGAGGAUACCCGCCUGAAAGUAAUGCUCAUGGCUCUGGAGAUGAAGGUAAAACACAAAAUGACCGACGCAUGCUUCGACGAGAACAUGUCAUUCUGGCACGAACGUCUUCCCAAGGGGAACAACUGCCCGACCAGUUUCGAGGAGGCAAAGAAAAUCGUGUGUCCUCUGGAUUUACCGCACGUGAAAUACCAUGUGUGCAUGAACAAUUGCAUCAUUUAUCGGGACGAGCACGCGGAGUCUACCAUAUGUCCGGUGUGCAGCGUCAGUCGAUACAAGAAGAGGAAGAAAGCUCCUCAAAAAGUGGUGUGGUACUUUCAUAUCACUCCUCGUCUGCAACGGUAUUUCGCGGACCCUAAGGUAGCAAAGCUCCUGCGUUGGCACGCGGAUAGGGAGGAGAAAAAGCGAGAAGAUGACGGAAAUGAUCCGGAGAUAAAUAAAAAAGACAAGAUGCUGAGUCACCCUAAGGAUGCGAGCCAGUGGCAAGCGUUGAACUACGAAUACCCAGAAUUUGGGGACGAUCCAGGGAACAUCGUGCUGGGCGCGAGCACCGAUGGAGUCAAUCCGUUUGGCAGCCAGAAAAUCACACAUAGCACCUGGCCUGUGUUUGUGUGGAUGUACAACCUUCCCCCUGGUUGUGCACGAAGAGGAAGUACAUUCACAUGAGUAUGCUAAUUGAAGGGCCUAAACAACCAGGGAACGACAUCAAUCUAUAUCUGGGGCUGUUGAAAGAGGAGCUAGACACGCUGUGGAAAACGCGAGCCAAUACGUGGGACGCCGCAGAGAAAGAAUAUUUCCCUAUGAGAGCCGCACUGCUCCCGACGGUGCACGACUAUCUCGGUUAUGGAUAUGUCGCGGGGCAGGUGGUCCACGGGUUUUCUGGAUGCGUCAGGUGCAUGGAUGACACAAUGUAUCGCCAGCUAGAUAGAGAUCCCGGGUCUUCAAAAACCGUGUUCAUGGGACCUCGAAGGUGGCUUCGCAACGAUGACACAUGGAGAAAACGCAAGGAUCUGUUCGAUGGUGAAACCGAACCCCGAAGACGCCCCCUUAUGAGGAGCGGCGAGGAAAUAUACGAGCUGUUGAAAAAUUGGAAAAAGUGCCCACCGCCGGGAAAGGCGCUAGAGCCGGGAAAGAAGCGAAAGGCGCUAGAGCCGCUCCUGAAGGUAUGGAAAACGAGGUCUGUUUUCUGGGACUUGCCGUACUGGAAGAUCCUCCGUGUGCCUCACAGCCUUGAUGUCAUGCAUAUCAUGAAGAACGUGUGCAAGAGUCUGCUUGGUACCCUGCUCAACAUGCCAGAGAGGACCAAAGAUGGACCGAAAGCAAGGGCAGACUUGAAAUCAAUGGGCAUCAGGGAGGAGCUUCAUGCUAAUAAUGAUGAUGAUGAUGAUGAUGAGGCGAAGCAGGACACGGAAAGUCGUCGCAAAGGCAAAAAGUACAAGAAGACCGGAAAUGACUUUCCUCCCGCGUGCUUCACUCUAAGUCAGGAGGAGAUCGAUCAGUUUUUCACCUGCCUCAUAGGAGUAAAACUUCCUUACGGUUACGCGGGGAAGAUAAGCAGAUACCUAGACUCAGCGAAGCAGAAGUUUAGCGGGAUGAAGUAUCACAACUGUCACGUGCUGAUGACGCAGAUACUUCCAGUUGCAAUCCGUGGGAUCAUGGACGCGCACGUCCGUGAAAUGCUUUUUGACCUAUGCAACUUUUUCGACGUCAUCUCUCGGAAGUCGGUUGGCGUGAGGCAACUCAGAAGGCUACAGGAAGAGAUCGUGGUGAUACUAUGCGAGCUUGAGAUGUACUUCCCGCCCGCAUUCUUCGACGUUAUGGUGCAUCUGCUGGUCCAUAUCGUGGAGGAUAUCAUCCAACUCGGGCCGACGUUCCUGCACAUCAUGAUGCCGUUCGAAAGGAUGAAUGGUGUCAUCAAAGGAUACGUCCGCAACAUGUCACGUCCAGAGGGAAGCAUAGCCAGGGGCUUUCUGACCGAAGAGUGCAUCUCCUACUGCACGAAUUAUCUAGGCAUCGAGAACCUCGUUGGUCUGCCCGUCAACAGGCACCUCGGCAGGCUCGCAGGAUGGGGUCACCGUGAGGGUCGCCGCGAAAUGCAUGUCGACUUCGAGGGUCGACUCGCCGACUUUGAAAGAGCAAACCUAGUCGCGCUACAACACAUAGACGUGGUCGAUCCUUGGGUCGUAGAGCACAAAACCUUUAUUGAAAAGACGUACAAUGACCGAGGCCAACAGAGGACGGACGGAGAUAUAAUCAAAGAGCACAACUCAUGUUUAACGCGUUGGUUCAAGCAGAAGCUUUUGUCGUAGCCUUUACAUGAGGAUUCUUCCGCGGAAGAACAACUCAUAUUCGCCUUGUCACAGGGCGCCGAGCACAACCUGAUGAUGUAUGAGGCGUACGAUACCAACAGCUACACAUUCUACACCGAGGGAAAGGACAUGAAGAGCGAUGGUUAUCAGAACUCCGGGGUAACGAUGGAAUCCUACACCGGUAACGACAAGGACAGAUACUACGGAAGGAUCGAGGAGAUCUGGGAGCUGAGCUGCGCUGGAGAGAAGGUCCCGAUGUUCCGUGUCAGAUGGGCCAAGAGCGUCAUAAAAGAAGACCGGUAUUUCACCACCAUGGUUAUACCCGAAGCCAAAUCCAAGACCGCGGGCGCAAAAGUCACCGCGAAAAAUGAGCCAUGGGUACUGGCUUCCCAAGUGGACCAAUGCUUCUUCAUUACCGACCCGCCAAAGCCCAGUCGUGUUGUCGUGAGGAGAGGCAAAAGGAAGAUCAUCGGAAUGGAUGGAGUCGCCAAUGAGCAAGACUUCGACAAGUACGGCGACCCGAAGAUGGAACAUGACGACGAUGAUGAAGUACCAGCAUACACCACAAGAAGAAGCAGGACCACCCUACCUAAAGGACGUCCGUUCAAGAGAAGAACUCCAUUUACGAAAAAUAAGGGCAAGAAGAUUGUGAACAAAUAGCUAGCUAAGAUCGAUUAUAUUUAAAUUUGAUGAUAUUUUUUCAUAUUCAAUAUGAAAAAAUAUUGAAUAUUCAUGAGGACACUCGAUCUCGAUCCCCUCCAUCUCGAUCGCUAUCACCCCUCGCAAGAUCCCCCUCGCCGCCGAGCACCCCCCGCACCCUCCCCCGCUCCACCACCGUCGCCGUCGGCAUACUUACCACUAGAACACCUAUUCAGAAGAUACUAGGCACUUCUCAAAAAAAUACUAGGCACUUCUCAAACCAAGGUGCAACCAGCACAAGAAAACAAUGCAAAAAAAAUAAAAAUACUAGGCACUAGAUGUUGUUGUGAGGCACUAGAUAUUCAUAGGCAUCUAAUUGCAAACAUAAAAAAAAAUACUAGACAUCUACUUGCAAACAUAAAAAAAUUUACUAGGCACUUCUCAAACCAAGGUGCAACCAGCACAAGAAAACAAUGCAUAGAAAAAAAGGAAAAAAGAGAGGGGGGAAGAGGAUUCGAACCCGCAACCUCCUGCUAGGAGGCAAAACCCACGGACCACUGUGCUGCUACUUCGGAGGUUAACAACAUAGAGAAGGCGCACCUCAUAUACAUGCGCCAUUACUACAUAAAAAAACAUUCUAAUGGCGCACCGCUCGGGGUGCGCCAUUCCUAAGCCGGGCCGCGCCCUCCUCUCUUCUCCCGCGGCCUCCCCCUACCCCUUUCCACCAAACAGCAGCUCCCCCACCUUCGUCCACGCAGCCCACGGAGCUCUGGCGGCGCUAGGGUUUUCUCCGCCUCUGCCUCCGCCUCAGAUAGCCGAGGUGCGAAAUAUUAUCAGCCCCAACACACUCAAGAAGGUGGUCUCUGAGCAGAUGAACUGGAUCCCAUUACAUCAGCAGAAGAAGGGAUGAAAAAGAAAGACUAACAAGGGUGCGAGCCAGCCGGCACUGAGUACGAUCCGUGCUCUGGACGGGCCACCUUCACCUAAGGAUAUCUCGAGGAGGGUGCAUGUGGCGGGUAGGCCGAUGCUACCGACUAAUCUACUCAAUGCUGCAACUGGUGCUAUGCGGAGUCUGCAUGACAGUGUUCUUUGUUUGGAGAAGCGGCGUCUCUCCGAGAAUAAUGUGGCAUACCCGGUUUUCGUGGCCAAGGUGCCAGAGGGCAAGGGCUUUGUCGAUAGGCCAUCGGGGGUAUGAUCGUCCUGCGGUUUGUUGACAUCUUCGCUAUGUUUAACCUUCAUCCGCUGCACUACACCUUCGUUCGGCUAUUUUCGCUGAGUAUGGAGAUGCGGAUCAUUAGAGACAAGACCCCGAACCUAGUGAUAGUCGACCCCUUCUAUAUGCGUGCCAAGAUCUUGGGCAGCGCUGGGGACCGGCAAGUCACGAGUUCAUACCUCGAAGGCGUCAUUCUGGCAAACUCAGAAAAGGAUAACUUCCUCGUGCCUUACUUUCCCUGGUAAGUUAUCCCCUCAUCGCCACGUAACAUAUGAUUUCUUAGAUUUUGAUCGUCCUUUUUUUCUAACAUUCCGUGUUUUGUGCAGUGACACACGUUGCACACUCAUCCUCUUAAGUCUGAAAUAUUCCACGGCCACGUAUUUCGACUCGGACCGUCAGUCAAAAAAAGACUACACAAAUAUCAAGAAAGUUCUUGAUGAAGCUCUUCCCGGCUAUGCCAUAUCUGGAGGCACCUUCAGCAGGACAAGUCUCAGGCACGGCAAGCACGUGUUCACCCACAAUACGACGUUCGCCUGCGUCAAGCAGCCGCCUGGCAGUCAGAAGGAUGCCUACUACGCCCUCCAUCACAUGCGGGCGAUCAUACGGGAUAGUAAUCACCUUCGGCUACCAAAUAAUCUCAAAUAUUGGGCCGCACACUUGUCGGCAAUCCAGGAUGCGGACAUCAGACAAGAAUUCUUUCGCAUCCAGUCGGAGUUUGCAGAAAUCAUCCAUCAAGAUGUCCUUCGUACCUCGGGGCAGUUCUACCUCAGAUCUCCGCUGUCCUAUACUGAGAUAGAUACAAUGCUACAAAUGCAGGCUGACAACGACCGCAAUUUCAUGACCAUCACGAAAGAUGGCGGCUUCAUCCACGUUCCCGUGAAUCGCUACUAAUUCAUGUUGCAAUAUUAAACUUUAAUGAACUGGUAUGUCUCUUUGGUUUGGACAGUCGUUCAACUUAUAUAUAAUCGAUGCUAUUUAUUAGUAGGACCAUGAAUCGUGCUGUUAUAGUUGUAAUAUUAAACUUUAAUGAACUUGUAUGUCUCUGUGAAUUGCUACUAACGUUUUGUUUGGCUAGUGCAUAGAGAUGCCGUCGUAUGUCGUGUACAAGGGUAAGGUUCCCGGAGUCUACGACGACUGGGAGGAGUGUCGGAGACAGGUUCACCGAUUCAGCGGUAACAGUUACAAUGGGUACACCACAAGGGCGGAGGCGGAAGUUAGAUACGCGCGCUAUCUACGGGAGAGAGGAGGGAGCGUUGGAGGAACCGGAUGAAGACCAGUUUCAUUGCGAUUAUGCUCAUCGUGAUGACCGCAUCUCUCUUCUAUAUGUGAUGGUAGUUUAGAUGGUCGAUAUAUCAACUUGUAAUGUGAAGACAAAUUCGCUGCUCGCGGUCUCGAGACUUGUAGUAUUCUAACUUUUUUCGGUAUUUUAAAUUCGGAGACUAAUAUGAUGAAUUGUAUUCGGAGACUAAUCUUCUAUUGUAUUCGAUAAAUCUGUUGUUUAUAUGUUGUGCUAUCCAUAUUCUGUGCAAUAAUAUAUUUUGUAAUAUGUGCAAAUAUCAGAAAAAAUAAAAUAAAUACCUAAUAUUCAUACUAGUGACGCAUCACUCAGCACACUAGUGCGCCAUUAGUAAGCGAGAGCAUAUGGGUAAAUAUGGCCCUGGGAGGCAUACUAAUGGCGCACCACAAGCUAUACUAAUGGCGCACCAGGAUAUAUACUAAUGGCGCACCAGUAUCUAUACUAAUGGCGCACCGUGAGCAAUACUAAUGGCGCACCGUGAGCAAUACUAAUGGCGCACCGUGAGCAAUACUAAUGACGCACCGUGAGCAAUACUAAUGGCGCACUACCUGGUGCGUCAUUAGUAUACCAGAUACUAAUGGCGCACUUGUAAUGCGCCAUUAGUAAAAAAAUCUAAUGGCGUGAUGCUAGUGGCGCACCUAUAGUGCGCCAUUAGUAGCAAAAAAUGGUGCGCCAUUAGAAGGCCUUUUCCUAGUAGUGAGCUGCCCUCCAUGCUUGGGCUUCUUCCUCUUGUGCAAAAGCAAAAUCAAAGCAAUGUCUUCUUCAUCCUCCAAAUCGUAUUCCCCAUCGGAUGAAUCCUCAAUCAAAACCAUCUACAAACAAACUAGACCGUAUUAAAAAGUGUAAUCCUAAACUACAAACACAAAAAGCAAACAAAAAGUUGAAUACACAUUACCUCGAACACCUUGCGGGCGGCCGAACCGGUGGGUGGCAGCUGCGUCGCCGGAGCAAGCCUCUCCUAGUUGCUGCUGCCGUCGCUGGGUGUUGCAGGCGGCCAAGGGGAAGCAUAAGAGCGUCGUCGGGGUCGCGGCGGCGGCAUAAUCGGCGUCGGUGCCCCGGAUUCGUACAGCGGCGGCGGCGGCGGCAGAUCAACAAUUUAGGGCACUAAACCUCUUGCCUACUUGGGCAGCGGUAUUCCGACGACGAUGGGCAGCGGUAUUCCGGCAGGGGCGAGGUGCGGGAGGGACCGGCGGUGGACGGGCAGCGGAUUUUGGGCAGGGGCGCGGCCUACGGGCGGCGGAUUUGCGGCGGCGGCGGCGGAUUUGCACCGGCGGGGUCGAGGGCGGGAGAGGCUGGGAAAUUUUCGGGUGGCAGUUCGGCUGCGCGCGCGCGUCGUUGGGAAAAUAGGGCAGCCACACAAGUGUUGUAUAUUUGCAACAGUUGGACCAAAUUUAGGGCAGUGUUGUAAAAAAUAUAGGGCAGUUGAUGAAGAUAGGGCAGCUGUUGGAGCACGUUUUUGCCUCUUUUCUGCCCUAUAUGACAGUUUUUAUGCCCCACUGCCCUAUAUAGGGCAGCUGUUAGAGAUGCUCUAACACUCACAUAUGACGGUCACUAAACCUCUUGCCCACUUAGGUUGGCUCCCUGCUCAGCUUGCUCGUUUAGCUUUUUUUUCAGCUCGCUCGACUACUAGCUUAGAAAAAAAUACUGUCCUUUUUCUUAUUUAAAAAUGUUCUCUCUUCUGCUUCUUUCCCACGCCCCCUUGCAACCCUGUUCUUUCUUCUUCUUCUUCCCCAAGAAGAAAACAACGACCCUGUCAUGGAGAAAUCCUCAUUGAGACCGGCGGUGAGAGUGCUAAGCAUGAGCUCGUCGGAGAUUUUGGUGUCGAUGUCGCGAAGCUCAUCGGCGAGCAUCUUGAGCCGCAUGCAAUAGUCAACGAUGGUGGAGUCAUCCUGGUGGCACCUGAAGAGCUCUUGUUGCAAGAAAACAAGACACUGAAGCUUGUUAUCGGUGAAGAGCGCAUUGAUCUUGGUCCACACGGUGCAAGUAUCGUCGUCAUCGGUGACGACCGUGUGGAAGAUGUCCUUCAAGAUGGUUUGGUAGAACCACCGAAUGAGAGUGACCUCGAUGGCGGACCACUCCGGGACGCCCUUCAUGUACUCAGCGUCGACGAAGCCAUCUAUGUGUUCGGUGAGGUAGUACUCGCGGAAGACAAGGUUGAAGUAGGUCUUCCACGCGUAGUACGAGGAGGUGGAGGAGUCGAGGCGGAUGGGAACACGGGCAUCGAUGUUGAUGUCGCGGAUGGCUUCGACGAAGGGUGCAGGGCCGGCGAAGGGGUUGGUGCUGGAGGUGGCCGGCGAAUUCAUGGGGCCGGCUGCGGGGGAGAGAUGGCGAGCGGCGGCGGCGGCUCGGGUGGGAGAGGGGUAGCGGAAGCGAUGAGGCGUGCGGCAGCGGCGGCGGCUGCGAUAGGGUUUAGGUUAGGAACUUUUAGGAUGAUACCAUGUAGAGAGAGAUAUGUUUGGCAAUGCAACUCAUAAUAUUGAUUGAAUAUGCACAGAUAUACAGAAUACAAUAUGAACCUCUAUCUCAACUAUACAAAGGCUAGGAGAUAGACCAAACUAUGUACAUAUACACAUGCCCGACCCUAGGGGGGGGGGGGAGGNNNNNNNNNNNNNNNNNNNNNNNNNNNNNNNNNNNNNNNNNNNNNNNNNNNNNNNNNNNNNNNNNNNNNNNNNNNNNNNNNNNNNNNNNNNNNNNNNNNNNNNNNNNNNNNNNNNNNNNNNNNNNNNNNNNNNNNNNNNNNNNNNNNNNNNNNNNNNNNNNNNNNNNNNNNNNNNNNNNNNNNNNNNNNNNNNNNNNNNNNNNNNNNNNNNNNNNNNNNNNNNNNNNNNNNNNNNNNNNNNNNNNNNNNNNNNNNNNNNNNNNNNNNNNNNNNNNNNNGGGGGGGGGGGGAGGGGCGGCCGCCACGGGCCCCCGGAACCAGAGGGGCCCCCAACUCAGGUACGUGUGAGCGCCCCACCCCCAAUCUAUCGGAGACGCCACCAGAGCAGUUACAAAGUAGCUGCGGUAUGGCUCCGGGAAGAAGAAAGUCGAAACGGUAUUUCUUUUAGCUAAAUGGGCUUUGGGCCUUUGUUUCCUUUAGCUAAAUCGUGGUGUUAAGUGGUUGUGGGCUUCCUCUAAAAGAAGUAGUGGUGGGUUAUGUGUAAGAAAAAAUGAUGACGGGCCACACCAAGCUAGAGGAGGGAGAGGAGCACAUCGGUACAAAACUUAUAAAAGAAAGAAAAAAGAAGAUUGGUGAAUUCACAUGCCCACGUCUUGCCUGGUAUUACAACCCUGGCAAACUAAUAAGUUUUUCUUUUUUAUUGUAAAAUAAAUCUAUUUUUUUGCAAGUGUAGCAAACUAAUACUCUAUCUUGAUAAGAAAAAUAAACAUAUCAAAUUCAGUAUAUGUGCGGAGUCCCUAAAGAAAUGUAUCGUAGCGGAGAGACAAUAGCAACACGCACGGUGACGACGGACUGAUGACAUGAGCGUGCACUAUGGUCAUACUAUGAUAGCCAAAUAUGGAUGACUCAGUUGGUACUCUCGUCUUCAUAACUUUAUAUCAAUAAACACAAAUUGAAUUGAUUGUUCUACUUUGGUGUUAUGAAUUGAGAGUUGAUUGUUCUACUUUGGUGUUAUGAAUUGAGAGUUGAUUUUCUACUUUGGUGUGAAUAUUCAUAUGUGUCAUUUUAAUUGUUAUUUUUCUUCUUUAUAUUUUUGUAUAUAUGAACUUUUUUUUUCAUCUAUUAAGUUUUUUCAUUCAUAAAUUUAUUGUUUGCUCGGUCAUCAUGCUUGCGCGUAACUUGCCUGCAAAUGGGUAAAUGCAAUUUAGAUGAUCUUCUGUAUUCUGCUGCCUCAUUGUGACGACAAACUCUUGAUAUCAUGUGUGUCCCGGUCAGAAAUGACCCAUCACCGCCCUCAACGAGUCCUACCAAGAUGCGGUAUUGUGCACAUUAGCCCCCGCAUCGUCGUGAUCUUAUAGAACACAUGUGUCUGAUUCUCUUUCCAUAGAUAUCAUCGUUAAAGACCUUGUGUGCAAUCUUUUUGUGUGUGUGUGGUGGGGGGCUACCGGCCUUGCAUAUACAUGCAAACUACUUACUCCGUUUUUAAAUAUAAGUCUUUAAAGAGGUUUCAUGAAUGAACUACAUAUGGAUGUAUAUAGACAUAUUUUAGAGUGUAGAUUCACUUAUUUUGCUUCUAUAUGUAAACUCCUAAUGAAAUAUCUUAAAAGACUUAUAUUUAGGAACGGAGGGAGUAUAUGUUUAACAAGAUCAUUGGGCGCGGACCGCGGAGGUAGCGUAUUUCCACGAGCCAGCCGGUGACGACGAUGUAGAAGCUUCUUUCAGGGCCCCCCGUCCAUGCGCUGUGCAAGUACAAGUCUGACCGACGUGAGGCGCUGUACCAAACGAAGCGUAGCAAGUACAGCCAGAAUCAUCUGAAGCUUAGCAGCCAGCGGCCGCCGGCCGUUACCUGCAGCAUGCAUGUGACUGCACACUACGCCAAGAAGUCCGCGGCUAUAGACAACGCUCUGAAAAUAACUCUUUUGCACAGACGCGUGGAAUUCCGUGGUGGCCCGUCGGAUUUUCCCCCCGCAAAUAAAGAUCGCGCGCGCAACGUGGAACAGCUGGAUAGGGUAGCACGAGCCACGAACGGUGCAUCGUCAGCGCAUUUCCCUGCGCUGCACCCGAGCUGAGCAGCUAUAAAUUGAGCUGCAAGCCCAGCAGCUUCAUCACACAGGCGUCUUGCAUAGCUCUCCUUGCGCUAUACUACAUUUCACGAGCCGACUAGCUGAAGGUGAGUUAGCAUGGCGAGGCCUGCUGCCCUCGCGGUGUGCGCCGCCGCGCUCCUGCUCGCCGUGGCGGUGGGCGGCGCCGCGGCGCAGGGCGUGGGCUCGGUCAUCACGCGGUCGGUGUACGCGAGCAUGCUGCCCAACCGCGACAACUCGCUGUGCCCGGCCAGGGGGUUCUACACGUACGACGCCUUCAUCGCCGCAGCCAACACCUUUCCGGGCUUCGGCACCACCGGCAGCGCCGAUGACAUCAAGCGCGAGCUCGCCGCCUUCUUCGGCCAGACCUCCCACGAGACCACCGGUACGUCAGUCAGAGAGUGUUAAUUACUUGUUUUCGAUUGUUGCUUUCAACAGAAUUCGUGGAACUUUUGAUUCGGAUAUGAAGGGCUUGAUUGAAUCGUGUACGUGCUUGUGCAUGCCGUGUCGACGUGUAGGAGGGAC
rnacentral:lncRNA from 1 species